rnacentral:rRNA from 1 species
ACAGCAGCAGCCGCGGUAAUACGGAGGGGGCUAGCGUUGUUCGGAAUUACUGGGCGUAAAGCGCACGUAGGCGGCUUGGUAAGUUAGAGGUGAAAGCCCGGAGCUCAACUCCGGAAUUGCCUUUAAGACUGCCGAGCUAGCAGGUGAGAGAGGUAAGUGGAAUUCCGAGUGUAGAGGUGAAAUUCGUAGAUAUUCGGAAGAACACCAGUGGCGAAGGCGGCUUACUGGCUCAUACUGGACGCUGAGGUGCGAAAGCGUGGGGAGCAAACAGGAUUAGAUACCCCUGUAGUCCCUGUCUCUUAUAC